UAGGUUACAUCACAUUAUCAUGUGAAAUGGCCUGGUAAAUUACGUCACAUUAUCAUGUGAAAUGGCCUGGUAGCUUAAGUCAAAUUAUCAUGUGAAAUGGCCUGGUAGAUUAAGUCACAUUAUCAUGUGUUAUGUGA